rnacentral:rRNA from 1 species
GGGACACGUGGUAUCCUGUCUGAAUAUGGGGGGACCAUCCUCCAAGGCUAAAUACUCCUGACUGACCGAUAGUGAACCAGUACCGUGAGGGAAAGGCGAAAAGAACCCCGGCGAGGGGAGUGAAAAAGAACCUGAAACCGUGUACGUACAAGCAGUGGGAGCACGCUUAGGCGUGUGACUGCGUACCUUUUGUAUAAUGGGUCAGCGACUUAUAUUCUGUAGCAAGGUUAACCGAAUAGGGGAGCCGAAGGGAAACCGAGUCUUAACUGGGCGUUAAGUUGCAGGGUAUAGACCCGAAACCCGGUGAUCUAGCCAUGGGCAGGUUGAAGGUUGGGUAACACUAACUGGAGGACCGAACCGACUAAUGUUGAAAAAUUAGCGGAUGACUUGUGGCUGGGGGUGAAAGGCCAAUCAAACCGGGAGAUAGCUGGUUCUCCCCGAAAGCUAUUUAGGUAGCGCCUCGUGAAUUCAUCUCCGGGGGUAGAGCACUGUUUCGGCAAGGGGGUCAUCCCGACUUACCAACCCGAUGCAAACUGCGAAUACCGGAGAAUGUUAUCACGGGAGAC